rnacentral:rRNA from 1 species
AGCCGCUCAGAACUCAAGGAAUUGACGGGGCCGCGACAAGCGGUGGAGUAUGUGGUUAAUUCGAUGCAACGCGAAGAACCUUACCUGGUCUUGACAUCCCGGAGACCCUUAGGAACUAGGGGUGCUUCCAUCUGGAAGAAUCUGGAGACAGGUGCUGCAUGGCUGUCGUCAGCUCGUGUCGUGAGAUGUUGGGUUAAGUCCCGCAACGAGCGCAACCCUUGCCUUUAGUUGCCAGCAGUUCGGCUGGGCACUCUAAAGGGACUGCCGGUGUUAAACCGGAGGAAGGUGGGGAUGACGUCAAGUCCUCAUGGCCUUUAUGACCAGGGCUACACACGUACUACAAUGGCCGAUACAAAGGGCAGCGACACUGCGAGGUGAAGCCAAUCCCGUAAAAUCGGUCUCAGUCCGGAUUGGAGUCUGCAACUCGACUCCAUGAAGUUGGAAUCGCUAGUAAUCGUGGAUCAGCAUGCCACGGUGAAUACGUUCCCGGGCCUU